rnacentral:RNase_MRP_RNA from 1 species
AAGGCAAAGUCAUGCCGUGAGCACUCCGAGGAGUGCUAACUGAACGGGGCUCACUCUC